GGUCUUAUAUUCAAUUUAUGAUUUCGAAUUGCAAGUUCGAAGGUGAAUGUUAUUCUAAGGCUU
rnacentral:tRNA from 1 species